CUGUCCUGGCCUGUGCAUUUCCUGCCUGCUGUGGCGCUCAGUCAGCAGAGUGAGGCGGACGAGACACACAGCAAUCACCCUCUCUGUUUAGGAUGGAUGGCCAGCCUGAGCAUAGGACUGCCUGUGAAAGGCAGGAGAGGAGUUU